rnacentral:rRNA from 1 species
ACGGGUGAGUAAUAUAUCGGAACGUACCCAAGAGUGGGGGAUAACGUAGCGAAAGUUACGCUAAUACCGCAUACGAUCUAAGGAUGAAAGCAGGGGAUCGCAAGACCUUGUGCUCCUGGAGCGGCCGAUAUCUGAUUAGCUAGUUGGUGGGGUAAAGGCCCACCAAGGCAACGAUCAGUAGCUGGUCUGAGAGGACGACCAGCCACACUGGAACUGAGACACGGUCCAGACUCCUACGGGAGGCAGCAGUGGGGAAUUUUGGACAAUGGGGGCAACCCUGAUCCAGCAAUGCCGCGUGAGUGAAGAAGGCCUUCGGGUUGUAAAGCUCUUUUGUCAGGGAAGAAAAGGCUGCGGCUAAUAUCCACAGCUGCUGACGGUACCUGAAGAAUAAGCACCGGCUAACUACGUGCCAGCAGCCGCGGUAAUACGUAGGGUGCAAGCGUUAAUCGGAAUUACUGGGCGUAAAGCGUGCGCAGGCGGUUUCGUAAGUCUGUCGUGAAAUCCCCGGGCUUAACCUGGGAAUGGCGAUGGAGACUGCGAGGCUAGAGUUUGGCAGAGGGGGGUAGAAUUCCACGUGUAGCAG